rnacentral:rRNA from 1 species
GCGUGGAGACAGGUGGUGCAUGGCUGUCGUCAGCUCGUGUCGUGAGAUGCUGGGUUAAGUCCCGCAACGAGCGCAACCCUCACCCCUAGUUGCCACCGGGUAAAGCCGAGCACUCGAGGGGAACUGCCAGCGUCAAGCUGGAGGAAGGCGGGGAUGACGUCAAGUCAUCAUGCCCCUUACGCCCUGGGCUACACACGUGCUACAAUGGCCGGUACAAAGGGACGCGAGACUGCAAAGUGGAGCUAAUCCCAAAAAAGCCGGUCUAAGUUCAGAUUGCAGUCUGCAACUCGACUACAUGAAGGAGGAAUCGCUAGUAAUCGCGCAUCAGCACGGCGCGGUGAAUACGUUCCCGGGCCUUGUACACACCGCCCGUCACACCACGAAAGCUGUCUGUACUCGAAGUCGCUGAG